ACACGGCAUUCCCGGGGAGUCAGGUGUCCUCGCCCCUGAAGACCACCUCCCCCUCCCCACCGGGAUGAGCCCCCUCGGCUCCCCCGACCAUGGACAUGCUGACCUGGAUCACCUGCCUUCCAGCCAUGGUUCUCAGCGAGAUGGACUGAUCCCAUCGCCUGACAGAUAGCCAGACUUCAAGGCCCUGAAGACCCUAGGUAGGAAAAUGAUCAAGCCAGUUUUUGAAUGAAGCCGAUUUCUCCAGAGAAGUGAAGUCAGUCGCCCGAGGUCGCCAAGCAUCUAAGUGGCAGAACUGGGAUUAGAACCCACAACCUUCCAACCCCAUGCUCUUUCCGCUAGACCACACUGCUUCUCAGCGGUAGGAGCCUGGUUCUCCGUCUACUUCCGACUCCCUCCCGCCAACGUUGCCGCCUUCCAGAUCUUCCCACGGCUCCACUGGGACAGAGCGCUGCAUCCCCGGGGCCUUCGGAAAAGAAGCUGAAUUCCCAACCAAACGAGAGAACUAAGCGGAGCCGUCUGUUUCCAGGUGGCGAUGCCCCCGCUCUGAGGCUGCCUGGCGGUCGGCCGGGCCUCUCCUCGCCGAGCCCGGGGCCAACGUCUGGUCUCCCCGCGGUGUCCCCCUUCCCGGCCCGGCCCGACCCAGCCC